UUUUGUUUUUGUUUUUUUUUUUUUUGCUGGUUUUCUUUUUAUUUAUCCUACUCUCACUGACACGUUUCCGAAACAUGGAGGAG
rnacentral:ribozyme from 1 species